GUAAAUUUAUUAUAUUGCAUUUAAUGUUAUAUCUAAUACUUCAUUACAUUUUAAUCACACAAGGACGUUGCAAAUUGAAUCAUUACAACUGAGUAUUUCUUUUUCUUGUUCAAACGAUCGAUUCGAGGAAAAGGGGAAAAAAAGAAAAAAGAAAAAACCUUAAAGAAUUUUAAAAUGUGUACGAACUCAGAUCGAUGGCCUGUCUUCUGCCAUGAUCGAUAACCAGAAAAAUUAAUUCUGCCGGAAACAUUCUACCAUGGCUAGUAAUGAGGAUAAUCCCAAGACUUCUCAAGAAUCGAAUGGCAGUGAUAAUCGAACUAGAUUUAAAGUGUUAAAG